rnacentral:lncRNA from 1 species
UUUCUUCUUUAUCGAUCAGGUCAGGAUCUGUCCAUACGUUUAUCGACCGAGUUAUUUACUAUAAAUAGUAUUUAAGAUUCUUUUUCUAUUGCAAGCGAUGAAUGCGGUGAAUGAUUGUGGACGAGAGAGUACGGGUGGAAAAAGUUAUCGUAGCGUGUCGUGACGAAGGAAAAAAAGAAAGAUGAUAUUAAUUUUUUAAAGUUGAAAAACAAGCUAGAGCGAGAUAUUUAUAGUAAUAUUUCAUUAACGCUGUUAUUAUUUGGACGAAAAGGUAUCGAGAAAUUUUGGAAAAUCGAUAGAAGAAUUCAAUUUUUAGAAAAAGUUGCAAGAAAAUCUUGAAAGAAAAGAAGAAGGGAAAAAUUUUGUUGUAAUUCCAAUUCACAAAGGGAUGAUCCGAAUUCGUGAGACGAGGAGGAGGAGGGGGAUAGGAAGUCGAAGGUGGGAAAAUUUCUCGAGACUUGGCAUCGAUCAGAUGCGGAGGGCGGGCGACAUCUCGCGAUAAACGCGUUUCCUCUGUCUCGAUGGAAUUUUAUUAGCUUUUCUUCGCGUUUCGUUUGACGGAACAGCUCGCUUCAUAUCGAGAGAGAAGAUAAAAAAAAAAAGGAAACGUUCAGGGACGACACCCCGAGAAUAAAAAUUAACGUUUGGUGAAAAAUAGCGUUUCGAAAAACGAUCGUUAACAAAUUCGCUAAUAACGAUCGGAAUUACCCGUUAAACGAUCCAUUUAUCACUCGAGCGGGGUCACGUCCCGACUAUUUCCCGAAUAUCGCAAACUGAAUUCUCGAAAACUGGUGCAAACUCGUUGAUUAUUUAUUACGCAUGGAUUUUCGUGAUGUAAAAUAAUUUUUACAUCGCGUAUGAAUGAUAUGAAAUAAUCAUUUUUUUUUCUCUCGAUUACUUUGGUAACAAUUGUUGUCGUCGAACAAUUUCUUCUUCUUGGUUUUAACGGGAAUCAAAUCGUGUCGAAUAUCGAUCCCGGGCAUCGAAUAUGGAUUAGGUAUUAUCUUCAUCUUCUGAUCUAUCCGAUAUGUAUUACAUCGCCUCGAUUGGACAACUGGAUUGGAUCGGGUAGAUGCAAAAGAAGAAUACUAAGCAAAACGAUUAUCACGAUAUUCUAUUGAAAAGACUGUGGCUUCGAGCCAAUUUGAAAAUAAAGGAGAGAAACGGGGAGGAGAAGACGGUUCGGAGCCAAGCGAAUUGGAAAAUUGUUGAGUAAUUGAGGAUCGUCACCGUUUGAAACAAAAAAAAAAAAAAGGAAACAAAAAAAGAGGAAAGGUAAAAGGGAGAAAAUUCACAAACACGAAAAUAUUUCUUCUUUAAAACCUUGAUUGAAGUUUUUAAAGAAGUUUUUAAAAACAUAUUGGUACGUAUUAAAAAAGAAAAUUGUCCAACUAAUGUUUAGAUGAAAAGUAUUGUAUUAUUUCUAUUCCUCAAUUCUAGUUAAAAUCUAAAAUAUUCCCUAGAUGCAUAGUGAUAAUAUCGGACGAUCCUUAACGACAAUGUGACGCAAGAAUGCGUAACAAGCGUGGUAAAACGUUAACAGGGGAAGAGAAGAGUUUUCCACACGAUGCUCAAAAUUAUGCAAAAUUGAGGGAGAACGAGUUCUUGGAUGCAAUUCGUCGAGGAGAUCGCAUACCAGCCACGCGUAGUUGUCGCGAUCGGUAAUAUCGUAACUUUCCUAAAUUACCGAUUGUGGGAAAAAACGUUCUCGAACAUUACCCUUCCCCUUGCGCAUCCUCUGGAAUCUCGAUCGUUUACCCGGCUAAUCGAUAUUUCGGAUACGUCUGGUUCCGUGCAAUUUCUGCGAACGAGCAAAGUUUUAAUCUUGACACGAUGCUAGACGCAACAAAGCCGUCGUUUUUUGCACGAAUUAUCGAUUCCUCGAGGUUGUAGAAUCCCCGAUUUCGAGCAGCCAGCAGCAGCAGCUGCAAUGUCGCAGCGAUACGAUACGAUAAAAUAUACAGGCGUGCGGUUUUCACUGUUUCGCACCUGGAGAAAAGGGUAUCCGUUCUAACGUAUCUCCAAACAUUUUAUUAUUUUACUUUAUUUUUUCUAGGAAAGACCACUUUUAUAAAAAUAGUUUUACGUUUACAUUUUAAUUCGUUUAAUAACAUAUUCGCCUCGUAUUUCUAUAAAUAAUUACGUGUAUAAGAAAAUCUCAAUUUGUUCGAAUUAAUAGGAAAAUAAGAUUGCUUGGAUAAGAAAAUUUGUUAUAAAUUUCUUCAUUUUUAUAAAACUUUUUUCUAAAGUAGAGAGCAUUAAUAUAUAUACAUAUAUCUGUGUUUCAUAGUUUCCAAGUUUGUUUUUGGCAUAUGUGGGUUACCUCUCUAAAGUUCUGCAGAGGUUAAGUGGUUGAUAAUAUUAGAUAAACUGUGUGCAGAGAUUCUGCUCGAAAACAGCAGACAACUAAUAAACCCUUUGAAUUUGCAUUAUAUUCGAUUAAAUCUAUUUCUAACCUUUUUUUAUUUUUUUCCCACAAAAAUCAUUCGACAGAUAAUAUAUCCAUCCAUUUUAUUGUUGAAUAGCUAAAAAAAAAAAAACAAGCCUGAUCAUUGCAAAAAGAUAAUAAUAAUGGUUUAGAGAUAAAGGCAGGGAAUGGGCGUUCCAUUAUAUUUUUUUGCAUCGCACGAAUAACAUCCUUGCCUUGCCUCCUGACAAUGCGAGACGCAAAUAAAACACCCAUUAUUUUCUCCACUUGCAUUUUUUUAAUUUCCAAGUUUCGGUUUAUUCUUAACCACUAUCUUAUCCCACCAUUGUUACUCACCACUAUAUCAUUACACUUUAUAUUAUUAUUAUUAUUAUCAUCAUCAUUACUAUCAUUAUUAUAUCUAUUGUAACCAAUGUUUUCAAUGGUUGGAAUACUUUUUUUCUUCUUUCUUUCUUUUUUUUUUUUUCAGAACCUUGGCUAUCGUGGUAGGUUGAUAUAAUUUAUCGAAGCAGCAGAGAUAUUAUUUAAGCCACAGUGACGCAGUCAUUCGUCUCCCGGAGAGAGAUUACGUUCCCCCUCCUCCCUCUCCCUCUCCUUUUUCUUCACCCUUCUAGCAAGCUAUGCAAGCGACGAUGCAUAGCUGUAUCACAUCGUAUAUUUUUGAACACGCGAAAAUAAUAAUUUCCUAAUUUCCAGAUUCGAAAUCUGGCUUUCGACGGAUAUUUUUUUUUAAUUAAAUAAACAUUUCUCUGCUCGACGUUGCAUUUAUAUCGAUUAGUUACUUCUCGAUUAAAAUCGAACGAGAUUUUAUUUAAUCACGAAUCAAUGUGGAAGGCAGGUUACGAUAGAAUUAAUCGGGAAGGUUGGAAUGAAAUGAUUAAAAUCGUACUUUGAAAUAAACCCUCUCCUGUGUUAAUGAUUUUCGUGUGUAUUAAUAAUCUGAAAAUGUGAAUCGAUACGAUUUUCUUCCUCUUCUUUUUAAUCUUGCGAUUAUUAUCGAAAAUUUAUGGCUACCAGACUUCUAGGUUUCUUGUUUAACGAUUGAUAGAAAUUUCCGGUUUACACCGCUCCACAGCCGGAAGUUUGAAGCGAUAACGCAGGUUUACAUUUUAUGUUAUAUUAUAUAAAUUGUUAAAUUAAUCAAUCUCUCUUUAUAAAGGAAUAGAUAUAGUUGCCAAAUAUCGGGCCAUCUUUCUUCUUCAUCGUUGUUUCUCCACUCGAGGAGGGCAUCGUCGAUCGAUUUUAUCGACAGAUAAAAACCUUUAUCGACAGAAUCGCGUUGGCUCGUGAACCCUUUGAAAAUCGAAGGACUCGUAUUGAAUUUAUUCGGCCCUUUUACCGUCCAUUCUUCCAUGUAUCUCGUUUCCAAAACGCUUCGAUCGAUUGGCAUUCCUUUGAAUCGUUCUUUGUUGCAAACUCUUUUUUUUUUCCCCAGGGAUCGAUCAUCAAAGCGAUUCUUUAUUUAUCCCUGAAAAUUGCCGACAUAUUUGAUCGUUCUUUUCAUUCUCAUAUUUCACCCAAUCAAAUUAACAAUUCCUCUCAAACGUAUUAAUCUCUCCAAUAAAAAUUUUCUUCCUAACACAUAUUUCCAACCAAUAAUCAAACGAGAUUCUUCCAAAACUUGCACAUUGCAAAAUUGUAUAAUAAUCGAAAAGGAAGUAAUAGUUUCUAAGAGGAAAGGAAACCAGGUGUUGCAUCAGCUGCCCCGAUUAUCAAGAUCCCCAAGAACUGACACUGACUUAACGCACCACCACCCCUUUUUCGCCGUUCCACGCCAUCUGGCGUUGCGCGAUUCGCCAAUCGUAAGGGCGAUAAUAAUCGUGCAGGUGCCGCGUUA